rnacentral:rRNA from 1 species
UACGUAGGGUGCAAGCGUUGUCCGGAAUUAUUGGGCGUAAAGAGCUCGUAGGCGGCUUGUUGCGUCGACCGUGAAAACCCGGGGCUCAACUUCGGGCUUGCGGUCGAUACGGGCGGGCUAGAGUUCGGUAGGGGAGACUGGAAUUCCUGGUGUAGCGGUGAAAUGCGCAGAUAUCAGGAGGAACACCGGUGGCGAAGGCGGGUCGCUGGGCCGAUACUGACGCUGAGGAGCGAAAGCGUGGGGAGCAAACAGG